rnacentral:rRNA from 1 species
AAGACCUUGCACUUUGGGAGCGGCCGAUGUCUGAUUAGCUAGUUGGUGGGGUAAUGGCCUACCAAAGCUUCGAUCAGUAGCUGGUCUGAGAGGACGGCCAGCCACACUGGGACUGAGACACGGCCCAGACUCCUACGGGAGGCAGCAGUGGGAAAUUUUGGACAAUGGGCGCAAGCCUGAUCCAGCCAUGCCGCGUGAGUGAAGAAGGCCUUCGGGUUGUAAAGCUCUUUCAGUCGGGAAGAAAAGGUUGCGACUAAUAAUCGCAAUUCAUGACGGUACCGGAAGAAGAAGCACCGGCUAACUACGUGCCAGCAGCCGCGGUAAUACGUAGGGUGCGAGCGUUAAUCGGAAUUACUGGGCGUAAAGGGUGCGCAGGCGGUUUUGUAAGUCAGAUGUGAAAUCCCCGGGCUUAACCUGGGAACU